UGAUUCUAUGAUUCUAUGAUUCUGUGAUAUGUUUAUUGAAAGGCCUUACAUGAAGUAGCUCAUUAUAAACACUGAGCUUCAUGCUUGUCAAUCAGCUGUUUCAUCACUGCUCCUGAGGAGUAUGGUGGUCACCAGUAUGUAAUGGCUGAACUCUGUGCUUUACUGCAUGACCGUUCCCAACACAAAACUUCUUCAUAGCCUUCUUCUCGUUAGCUAAAAGGCAGUUGCAGUCUUUUAAGGGCAGGUGUGCUGAAGGCAGUGCGUGUAUGUAUGAAUUACUUCUUUCUUGAAGCCAAAGCUUUGUGCUGUCUGUAGAAGUUCCUCGUUAGAGGCACUAAGUUGAGCAGGAUCGUUUUGCACAUACCGUAUCAGAUGAAAGGGUGGAGAGCUCCUAAUCCAUGCAGCCUCCCCAUGACCGGUGUGUCUGGGGCAGGGGAACACAGCUGGCAAACCCCCUGCUAAGCUGCUCCUUAGCUGUUCUUGACAUCGUGGGGCCUCGGCAGUAAGGCAGAGCUGUAGCUUGCUGUCACACAAGAGCUGGCCCCAUCCAAACCAGUCCCAAGAUGAAGAUGAUGCAGAAAUGAGCUGUGGGUGCUUUUCUGCACAAAAGGCUGGGGCUCUGUGCCCAUUUCUGUCCAAAGAAGAUUUGUGACUGUUUCAUAAGUAGGUUUCCACUCAAACACACUUUGUACUAUAAUUCUGCCCGGGAUUGUGAUCUGCAACUGGUUCAUGCCUGAAGUAAUAAUAUCCUCAGGCAACUAAUGACUAGGGGCGUUUUCUUAAAGAGCCUGAAGGUAGCAGAUUUCAGGUCAGCAUUGUUUACAAUGAUUUGGACAUCUGCAGGCUAAUAGAGAGAUGAGGCUCCAGACCACACUGUUGCAGAGCUCCUGCCCCCAUCCUCCCCUGAGGCACCUCUGCUGAGGGAAAUGCACUGCCUUCAGGUUCUACUCAGCACUUCCAGACCAAUAGUUCUGUUUUCUCCCUUUAAAUCAUAGUGGUGCAGUAGCCCAGCUUAAUCAUCUCUUCACCAAGGGAUCUGGAGUGAAAGGAGCCCAGCCAUGAAAGGUGCUCAGCCUCUGAGGUCUCUGGCCUCCCAGGGCCACAGCAGUCACCAAACUGGGCUUUUUAGGCCAGAAGCAGGUUUCCAAGGAGACAUUGUUACCCGGACACAUUUCUCCUUUGCAAUAGCAGCAGCAGCAGAGGAAGAAGUAGGUGUUAAAGUACCAGAAUUAAAUUAGUUUCAUGAAGACAAAAAGACACAGCAGAGACUCAUUUUGCUGUGAAGGAUGCUAUGAAGUCAGCUUGCUCUGCACUGCAGGUGGGAAAGGCAAGGGGGAAGAGAUGUUGUUGACACAAUAUGUAAAUUGUUACCCAGGUGUUUUAAAUCCAAUUCCACAGUCAGAUAAAAUCUGACAAUAGACUUAAGUAGAAAUAUAUAGAUGUAUAUUAUAGUCCAAUAUUUAUUCUGCUCCACAAUUCCCAGGGUGGGAAAGAGCCUUCUGUUUAAGACACAAAGAAGAGUCAGCAUGGCCCAGCAUCACCACUUUCUUGUGCAACAUUUAUCUGUUAAGUGCUGCCAUAGCAACUUCUGUGUACCAGACAGCUAUUUGAGUACAAGCUAUGCAACCACCUCUGCCACUGAGGAACUGCAGCAAGAAGUCUGUAACGUAGCUGGUCUGUGACCUGGCAGGAGGUUGCCCGUUUCCCAGCAGCAGCUGAAAAGCAAACACACAGAGACCCAUUUACUUCUGCUUGCAUAGCUUGUAAGCAGCUACCAGCCCAUCACAUUUGUUACUGCCAGAUGAAGCUUAUCUUGGUCAUAAUCAGACUUCUCACAGCAAUCAUCAUCCUAGGAGAGGUGCAAACACGUGGGAGUACUUUGAGUACAUCAGCCAGUCAAAUGUUGUCAGGGUGGUCCUGUAUUUGUCAUGUGUGUUACUGACAUUGGAAUUGCAGUCCUAAGAGCCUCUGCUCUCAGUGUGGCAAGAAAGACAUACAUGAGCAAAUGUCAUCAGCAUCAACAGGAGUUGUGCAGGUAAGGUACCUUCUACCAGCACAGCACACCAUUGCCCUGCCACCAGUUGCAAAGUACUUUUGCAUGCAUGCUGAACUCAAUCCACAUGCUUCCCUAAGGAUAAGAAACACUGCUGGCAGGAGGGGUGGUAUAUUGACCUGAAAUGCUCUGUACAGUGCAGGAAGGUGUGGGGUUGUUGCAGACUUGCAAGCACUUUGGGGGUAGAUCCUCUUAGCUACAUUUGGUAAUGCAUGCUCACCAAAACGGAGGCCUUCCCAUGCUCACACUCUACCUCUCUUCUUCAGCAUGGAUUUUGCUUCUACUUCCAGGAGGGAAAGUAACCACUGACCCAGAAGCUGCUGAGAUGAUUCCUCGGACUUUGCCUUUAAUGUACUGGCUCACACCUUCAGCUCCAGCAAACCAAGGCAUGUUCCCACAUAGCUGGAUGCUAAAAGAUCCAGCUCAUUUCCCCACAGAAAGGCAUUCCAGUUCAUACCUAAAGGUCACUGAUAGAGAUGUGACACUGCACUGUUGCAGAGCAGCCCUUGGUGAUAGAGACAAGAACCUCCCUGAGCCAGUGCACACAGGUCCUUGGCUUCCACAUGUACAAGUGUUUCCUACCCACUGUUUGACUGCUGUUAGUCAACAGUUGUUGGAAUUGGGGUUCCAUGUAACAACUUCUUGAUCAUUGGGUUCCAUGUAACAACUUCUUGGUCAUUGUAAGAUGUUUUCACAAGAUGAAUAAAAUUGCCCCUAUGGAAAAUGAAAA